GCCAUCAUGUUUGCUGUUGUGUGCUGGGGCAGCAGGCUGAGGGUAGCAGACACCAACAGAAUCAACAAACUCAUUUGUAAGGCCAGUGAUGUUGUGGGGAUGGAACUGGACUCUCUGACAGUGGUGUCUGAAAAGAGGAUGCUGUCCAAGUUGCAUGCCAUCUUGGACAAUGUCUCCCAUCCACUACAUAAUGUACUGGUUAGGCACAGGAGUACAUUCAGCCAGAGACUCAUUCCACCAAGACACAACACAAAGUGUCAUAGGAAGUCAUUCCUGCCUGUGGCCAUCAAACUUUACAACUCCUCCCUUGGAGGGUCAGACACCUUGAGCCAAUAGGCUGGUCCUGGAGUUAUUUCCUGGCAUAAUUUACAUAUUACUAUUUAAUUAUUUAUGGUGCCACUGUAACGAAAACCAAUUUCCCCCAGGAUCAAUAAAGUAUGACUAUGACUAGUUAGAUUAAUCUUGAGAUAGGUCAAAGUUCCUGUACUGCUGUGUUCUGAUAGAUAAUUUCCUGCUCACUGAGACCUGCACCAUUUUAAACUAUCACAUGUACCCAGUUUUGACUCAUAUGAUAUGUCCCAUUAUCCCUUAAACCGCUCGCUCCAUUUUUUUUUUAAAGAUUUUCAGUUUUCACUGUACUUUUCUUUAUGAAAGCUUCUGCUAUAACAUAAAGGUUGAAGACUCAUUUCCAAUUUAGUCAGCUCAGUUAUAAUCUACAAGAAUGCAAGAAGCUACAGAAAAAAACAAACACGUAGCACUUAAAAACAGCCAAAUAAACUAAUUGGUUCAAAUUAACAUGUUUCUUUAAAACACCACAGAGAAGCAAAUUAAAAGCCCUCGUUUGCUUUUUGGGGGGGAAAUUAUUGGUGCUAAUUAAAAAUAGAAAUGUUGUGCAUUUCGAAAACUCAUAUGCGCAGGCUGGAAGAGUUUUCUUAGUCAGCCUCUUGGUUUGGAGGGCUUCCACUUCAAUUUCACAAUCUUUGAGUUAGCUGAUGAAACCAGUGUAGGAUCCAGAGUUUCUGCCACCGACGAGUUGGAAACAUCGAAAGUGUUUCUGGUUUUGGAUUUUUUUUUCAGAUUUUGGAAUAUAUAAUGAGAUAGCUUGGGAUCACCUUCAUUUCCGAGUGCUACCGAUACUGGAACACUUCUCAUUGAUUUGAAAGCUGUAAAUGUUAUCCCACUACUUUGGGAAAAGGAAGGAACUGCAGACCAGCAGGACAAUUAUUGGCAUGACGUUUCAAAAUAAUAAAAAAGGAAAAGGGCCUGAAACAAAAGUUUGGACACCCUGCAUGGCAUGCAUUCACGGUAGAACAGAGAAAUACAAUAGAAUCAAUGAAAAACUGCACACAAAGACUGACCAACAACCACUGUGCAGAAGAAGACAGGCUGUGCAAAUUAAAAAUAAAUAAAUAAAGUCAGAAAACAUGAGCUGUAGAGUCCU